AGCGAACGCUGGCGGCAGGCCUAAUACAUGCAAGUCGAACGGAUCCUUCGGGAUUAGUGGCGGACGGGUGAGUAACACGUGGGAACGUGCCCUUUGGUUCGGAACAACUCAGGGAAACUUGAGCUAAUACCGGAUAAGCCCUUCGGGGAAGGAUUAUCGCCAUUGGAGCGGCCCGCGUCUGAUUAGCUAGUUGGUGGGGUAAAGGACCUACCAAGGCGACGAUCAGUAGCUGGUCUGAGAGGAUGAUCAGCCACACUGGGACUGAGACACGGCCCAGACUCCUACGGGAGGCAGCAGUAGGGAAUCUUGCGCAAUGGGCGAAAGCCUGACGCAGCCAUGCCGCGUGAAUGAUGAAGGUCUUAGGAUUAGUAAAAUUCUUUCAGCGGGGACGAUAAUGACGGUACCCG
rnacentral:rRNA from 1 species